rnacentral:rRNA from 1 species
CCUACGGGUGGCAGCAGUGGGGAAUAUUGGACAAUGGGGGAAACCCUGAUCCAGCGACGCCGCGUGAGUGAAGAAGUAUUUCGGUACGUAAAGCUCUAUCAGCAGGAAAGAAAAUGACGGUACCUGACUAAGAAGCCCCGGCUAACUACGUGCCAGCAGCCGCGGUACUACGUAGGGGGCAAGCGUUAUCCGGAUUUACUGGGUGUAAAGGGAGCGCAGACGGCAGUGCAAGUCUGGAGUGAAAGCCCGGGGCCCAACCCCGGAACUGCUCUGGAAACUGUGCGGCUAGAGUACUGGAGGGGCAGGCGGAAUUCCUAGUGUAGCGGUGAAAUGCGUAGAUAUUAGGAGGAACACCAGUGGCGAAGGCGGCCUGCUGGACAGUAACUGACGUUGAGGCUCGAAAGCGUGGGGAGCAAACAGGAUUAGAUACCCCUGUAGUC